GACGAACGCUGGCGGCGUGCCUAAUACAUGCAAGUCGAACGCAGGGGGGACGGGUGAGUAACACGUGGGUAACCUCCCAUCAGAGGGGAUAAAACUUGGAAACAGGUGCUAAACCGAUACUGAGUGAUGGACGCGCGGUGCAUUAGCAAGUUGGUGAGGUAACGGCUCACCAAGGCCACGAUGCAUAGCCGACCGUAGAGGGGGAUCGGCCACACUGGACCUGAGACACGGCCCCGACUCCUACGUGAGGCAGCAGUAGGGAAUCUUCGGCAAUGGACGAAAGUCUUACCGAGCAACGCCGCGUGAGUGAAGAAGGUUUUCGGAUCGUAAAACUCUGUUGUUAGAGAAGCGGUAUCUAACCAGAAAGCCACGGCUAACUACGUGCCAGCAGCCGCGGUAAUAC
rnacentral:rRNA from 1 species